UACAAGGUAGUACAUAUGAAGUGCGUGGGGUUUUGGGCCCUGAAGUGAAAGUGUAAGACUUUUUCUUGUAG
rnacentral:tRNA from 1 species